AAAGGAAUUGACGGGGGCCCGCACAAGCGGAGGAGCAUGUGGCUUAAUUCGAUGCAACGCGAAGAACCUUACCCGGGUUUGACAUGUAACUGCACAUCCUGUGAAAGCAGGAUUCCUUCGAGGGUGUUACACAGGUGCUGCAUGGCUGUCGUCAGUUCGUGCCGUGAGGUGUUUGGUUAAGUCCAGCAACGAACGCAACCCCUGUGUCCAAUUGCCAGCGAGUAAUGUCGGGAACUUUGGACAGACUGCCUGUUUACGCAGGAGGAAGGUGGGGACGACGUCAAGUCAGUAUGGCCCUUACAUCCGGGGCUGCACACGUGCUACAAUGGUCGGUACAAUGGGACGCUAAGCCGCGAGGUGGCGCAAAUCCCCAGAGCCGGCCCCAGUUCAGAUUGCGGUCUGCAAUUCGACCGCAUGAAGUCGGAUUCGCUAGUAACGGCGUAUCAGCUACGACGCCGUGAAUACGUUCCCGGGCCUUGUACACACCGCCCGU
rnacentral:rRNA from 1 species